AUAUUGCACAAUGGGCGCAAGCCUGAUGCAGCAACGCCGCGUGAGGGAUGACUGCCCUCGGGUUGUAAACCUCUUUUAGCAGGGAAGAAGCGAAAGUGACGGUACCUGCAGAAAAUGCACCGGCUAACUACGUGCCAGCAGCCGCGGUAAUACGUAGGGUGCAAGCGUUGUCCGGAAUUAUUGGGCGUAAAGAGCUAGUAGGCGGCUUGUCGCGUCUGCUGUGAAAUCCGGGGGCGCAACUCCGGGUCUGCAGUGGGUACGGGCAGGCUAGAGUGCGGUAGGGGAGAUUGUAACUCCUGGUGUAGCGGUGGAAUGCGCAGAUAUCAGGAAGAACACCAAUAGCGAAGGAAGAUCUCUGGGCCGCUACUGACGCUGAGGAGCGAAAGCAUGGGGAGCGAACAG
rnacentral:rRNA from 1 species